rnacentral:rRNA from 1 species
AUGGGAAAUAUUGUCAACACUGUUAGAAGAUUAAUGAAUGUGAUUUCUGAGGGCUUAUCUAGAACAGUAUCACCUAAAGAGAACUGUUCUACAGACGCUGUGGUUGCUAAGGGUUCGGAACGUGGUCCAGCCAGGGAUACACAUAAGAGCAAAGAGUUGAGACCACACAGUGUUCCUUCUGGAAAUAAUUUGUUUCACUGCGAUGCUUACGAGAAAUUGAUCAACGGUGAACUUAAUUUAGGUUGUAGAAGCAUUCCUGAGGCUUCAGAGGACUAUAAAAUGGUACCAGAUGAAGAUAGAGCAGUGUCUGGUCCUUUGGAUGUGAGAGGUUGUGAAAGUACCCCUAAAGCUUCGUUAAGGAGACGAGCCGAGCGGAAAAUAACUAAUACAAAAGCAUCAAUUCAGGCGACAGUGCCAACUGGAACUUCAGCCUCUCCAGAUGUGAAACAUCCUAAAAUGGUGCUAUCUCCGCUUACCCGCAGUCGCAGUAAGGCUAUGGCUCUAUCUGUUUCCACACCUGAACAUCUCAAACUGAGAAACGCCAGAUCAGGUCAACUAGUAGUUCCACGGUUGGAUUCAGGAAGCCAAAAAAUUAUCUAUGACGUGGCAAAAGUACCUAUCACCCCAUUGGUGGAGCAAAGUUCUGCAGGUAAAGCGUUGCCGAGUACACCAUCACAAAUGAUCAAAACUCCAAUUCCAUAUGGACGAUCUCCACUUACUCAUAAUAAGGAUAAGGUGUUAUCUGUUGCCACGCCCGAAACUCCCAAACUGAGAAGCUCUAGAUCAGGUCGACUGAUAGUUCCACGUUUGGAUCCAGGAACACAAAGUAUUAUCUAUGACUCGGAUGGUUCUAUCUGCGGCGUAACCAACUCAGAGCUGCAAUGGCCUCAAGGGUGCAAUUCGGAACCACCUGCUAAGAGGAGGUCUCGGUGUUCAUCCCCCGACCAUGGCAGGUUGCUGCUAUUCUGA